GUGAAUCAUCGAAUCUUUGAACGCACCUUGCGCUCCCUGGUAUUCCAUGGAGCAUGCCUGUUUGAGUGUCACGUAAUGAUCUCGUCCUCGCGAUUUGUUUUGCGAGGAGGGGGAUUUGGACCGUGCCGUCGUCGGCUCGUCCUGAAAUGCAUUAGUCUGGUCUAAAGCCGGCCCUUGGUGUGAUAACAUAUCUACGCCGCUGGUGUCGUGUCUUGCUCCUGGCUUCUAAAAUCCGCCCCCGAACGUCGUUCGGAAGGCUUACUUUAAUGCUCUGGCCUCAAAUCAGGUAGGACUACCCGCUGAACUUAAGCAUAUCAAUAAGGCGAGG
rnacentral:rRNA from 1 species